UCAAACACACAUAAGAAUAUAGAGUAAUAUCUCCUGCAGUAGCAUAGAGAGCCAAAAAUUCAGCAGCUGGACAUAUUGGGAUAAUGUGCUUUCUGUUUGUUAGGAAGUCCACGUGUUCUGCCAUCCUGUUAAAUAGUAUUAAUCUAACAAAAUUAAUCAAGGAAAAAUAUGUGCGCCUGGCACAAACCCACCAUGCCUAUGUGUUAUAUCCAGUCUCACGAACAUGACACGGUUAGAUAAGCUACCAUGAAUAACCAAGGAACAUAUGCCCUUACCCCUUAGUGUCCAUUGGUGGUAAUUAUCACUUAGCUAACUAUUUGAGGGAACAACGAUGCAAUGCCCCUCAACUAAAAUGUUGCAACACAAACAGAAUAGCCACAUAUAGGUAAAAAAAGAAUGUUGCAACACAAACAUGGUCACAUAGGUCAGGAAAGUAUUACCUACUCGGUUACUCCAUUCCAAAAUACAAACAGAAUAGCAUAAUAGCCCCUACACAAUUGUAAGAACUUAAAAGGAAGUAUGCAUAUCUCUGUUAUGAUCCUAAAAAAAUUUACACUUAUGUUUUAAUCCCAAAAUAAGCUAAUAAUAAUAAUAAAAGUCAGUAUCGCCAGUUGAUAAAAGUCGAGAGAAUUCCUUAUUUGACCCUUUCUUAAAAUUUGCUUCCCUAUUUGGCCCUCCACAAAAUGUUCUUCCCUUUUUGACACUAUUUACAAUUUUCCCCUAUACUACAUUUCCGUCAAAUCUGGUACAAUUCCGUCUAUUUGACCUGUCAGUAUUUUCUUCCAUGGACCAAUCUGCCCCUGUACGCUAAACACCAGAGAGGAAAAAAGGGGGAGAGAUGGAUCACGAUAGAACUUGCUCUCGCACAUAGCGGCGGCGGCGCAAGGCUGCGGAUGGUGGCAAAGUGGAAGGGGAAAAUGCGUCUGCAGAGGCCGCAAACCAAGGAUGGUAGCUGCCGAAGGCCUUGGUGCGGCUCGGCCAUCGGCGAACACCACCGCAGAGGGGUCAGCCCACGGCACUGGGGCGAGCACAGCCACGGCGCGGCUGCGCCGGCUCCAGUGGUGCCACAAGGUGUGAACAGCUUCUCCUGUCUUCUAGGAUCGUCCUCUCCUGUCGCAGCUGGCUGUCCAUGCAAAGCUCCACUUCGAGGAAAAGAACCAACACAAAUUCUUCGGCACGACCAAUAACUCGUUGAUGUUCCAAAAAAAUAACAGAGACAGCCUUUCUCAUGAUCCUUUCCUUAAUCGCCACCUAGACUAACUCAAAAUACAUCUCACUAGACCAGGCGUGCUCCUGAAGCUGCUGGAAGGAAUGAAGACGGGCGUGGCGAAGCCGGUGGGUGAGCACCGGACAGUGCUGCUGCAGGUGACGGACAUUGUCCCAGUGGACAUGGACGAGGUGGACCUGUUCCCGUGCCACGACCGGAGAGGAGGCUAAUGUCAAGAUGAGACGACCGGCGGCGGCGACUGCCUCAGUCCAGGCAAACGCGUGGUCUCCGGCUGCGUGUGGCUGGCUGGCGGCGUUCCCCUGGUCCUCCGCUACCGGCUGUGUGCAUGGUCUCCGGCUGGUCGUGGCCAGCAGGAAGCAUUCUCGUCUGCCGACCGUGCGCUUGGUCUACGACUAAAUAUGUGUACUAGUUCCGACCGUGGGCUAUUUAGAGGAUUUAAUAGUGCGUAAUACUUUUGGAACGUGAUGAACAAACCAAUAUGGUACUGAUCUUAGAUAUGGUAGUACAUGUUUUACAGACGUUUCCUAAGGCUUUUAUACGCACAGAUAAGUUCAGCUAAGGACCAAAUUAUUGGAGUGCAACAUUCAUGAACAUCUGUAGAACAUCGGUGAACUGAUUGCUUCUUUUUUUUUGUGUGGAACUGAUUGCUUGUUUACUUAGAUAUCCAGUAUAGCCGCACAAUGCGCUAGGGGCAAAAAAGGUCUUCUCAUCUCACACUUUAACAUCGUUACUCCUAAAUGGAAGCAAAAGUUACAUUGAGCGUCAAAUAGGGAAGAAAAAUUUAUUUUGGGCUAAAAAAAUAGGGAAGGAGAUUUUAAGGAAGGGCCAAAUAAGGAAUUCUCUGAUAGAAGUCGACAGGACACUAUACCUGGCCAAAUAGGUCUUAUCACUACUAGAAACUACGAGUUUACCACUUUACCUAGAGCUUAUGACUCCCCUCAAGGGCAACAAAAGCUAUGAACAGUAAGCUCUAGGAAAAGAUGAUUUUUGGGUGAAAAUAAAUGAGUAAAACUUUACCUACAGUUAUGUUUGGCCCCUAGGUAAUGAAGACCAUGCAGACACCAUGUUGAUUAGAAAAAUAGGAAGGAGGUUCGGUGAUACCACGUGAAAGCUAUUUUUGGUGGGCAACUAUUAUUUUUUUGUCAUUCCCACGCUAGCACCGCGCGUUUUAUUUCGGCCCACGCUGUUGGGCCCACUAGGCAGUGAUAUGGGCCAAAGGAGCUUGGCGCUAGUGAACAAAAAGUUUCACCAAGUCUAGGUCUUCCAUGUCCGGCCAUCUCACUUUCCCCCAACUCUCCAGAUCCAGCGCCGCCGCCCCUCCUUCUCUUCCCCCCUUCCGUCACAAAUCAAGCACCGCCGGUUGUGAUUCCGCUGCAUGCCAACCUCCUUCUCUCUGAAGGUCGCCGCCCCUCGCCCCUACCCCUUCCUCGUGCACCGACAGAUCUUGGCACUGGCACACCAUAGGCACUGCAAGGUGAGCCCAUGCGGCGAUGGGACAAGAGGAAACAUGUGGCUACUCGGUUCCAUGGUGUAUAGGGAGACUGAGCGACGGCAGUGAGCAGGGACUUGGGCUAGCGCCGAUGAGCAGGGAACAACAGCGGCGGCGCCUGCAAGCACCAUCCUCCAUUGACAAGUCUCCCUCUAUUGAAGCUUGGGGAUCUUACGACGACCAAUAUCUGCGGCUAAUGAACAAAUUAUAAAUGACUGCUCUUCGGGGAAGCCCCAUGGAUAAUUGGCUCUCUUCAAUGGGUCUACUACUGUGUUAUUACCGGCAAGACAUCAUUGCACCGUUCUCAUCCAAGAACUUCUUAUUCAAUUUCAUGUUCAUAUUUUGGAAACUAAUCAAGAACCGCCAGCUUUGUGUGUGCAGCAACACUCAGAUGGGCUAUGUGUAGUGUGGGGAGCAAUUAAAUCCUCUUGUCUUAUGUCCAUAUUGUCCAAAUUACAUUCAUUAUGCUGCCUACCAGAAUAUUCAAGUCUUUGAACUACAUGCUAAACUGCCUGCCAUCACUAGUUUUCAGGAUCACAAUCUCACUUGGAUGCUUCUCCCCAAGAUUUGGAGCUUAACGCUGCAAAGAUGUUUUUUAUCCAGUGCAUCUCGAACUUAACUCACUCGCUUGUCCCUCUACGGCAGCCAACCUCUUGAUCCUUGCUUUUCUGGGUCUUGAAGUCUAUCGAGCAUAGAUAACAUGUUGUUGCAAGUUAUUUGCAGUAGCAGAUACUUAGCCUGACCAACAAUGCUUGUACAUGCUGAUUUAGGUAUUCUGCUAGCUGUAGAAAUUUUAGAUGUAGUGUGUUUUUUUAAUUCUGGCUUGAAAUCAACCAUGAGUCCAAUGUAUGUGUCAUUGUAUGUUGAAUUUUGGCUACAAUUUAUAAAUUGGAAUUAUGGCUCGGAA